UCUGGUGGCUUAAGUGGGUAGAGUGUCUGCCUUGUAUGCAGGAGGUUGCAGGUUCGAACCCCUGUUGAGUCAU